GACGAACGCUGGCGGCGUGCUUAACACAUGCAAGUCGAGCGGAAAGGCCCCUUGUGGGUACUCGAGCGGCGAACGGGUGAGUAACACGUGAGUAAUCUGCCCUUCACUUCAGGAUAGCUCCCGGAAACGGGGAUUAAUACUGGAUAUGACACAUUCGCGCAUGUGGGUGUGUGGAAAGUUUUUUCGGUGGGGGAUGUGCUCGCGGCCUAUCAGCUUGAUGGUGGGGUAAUGGCCUACCAUGGCUUCGACGGGUAGCCGGCCUGAGAGGGUGACCGGUCACACUGGGACUGAGACACGGCCCAGACUCCUACGGGAGGCAGCAGUGGGGAAUAUUGGACAAUGGGCGGAAGCCUGAUCCAGCAACGCCGCGUGAAGGAUGACGGCCUUCGGGUUGUAAACCUCUUUCAGCACAGACGAAGCGCAAGUGACGGUAUGUGCAGAAGAAGGACCGGCCAACUACGUGCCAGCCGCCGCGGUAACAC
rnacentral:rRNA from 1 species